GGGGUUGUGGCUCAGUGGUAAAGUGCUUGCCUAGCAUGCAUGAGGCACUGGGUUCAAUUCUCAGCACCA
rnacentral:tRNA from 1 species